UACGUAGGGUGCAAGCGUUGUCCGGAAUUAUUGGGCGUAAAGAGCUCGUAGGCGGUCAGUCGCGUCUGCUGUGAAAACUCGGGGCUUAACUCCGGGCCUGCAGUGGGUACGGGCUGACUAGAGUGCGGUAGGGGAGACUGGAAUUCCUGGUGUAGCGGUGAAAUGCGCAGAUAUCAGGAGGAACACCGGUGGCGAAGGCGGGUCUCUGGGCCGUA
rnacentral:rRNA from 1 species